rnacentral:rRNA from 1 species
CCUACGGGAGGCAGCAGUGGGGAAUAUUGCACAAUGGGGGAAACCCUGAUGCAGCGACGCCGCGUGAAUGAAGAAGGAUUUCGGUAUUUAAAGCUCUAUCAGCAGGGGAGAAAAUGACGGUACCUGAUUAAGAAGCCCCGGCUAACUACGUGCCAGCAGCCGCGGUAAUACGUAGGGGGCAAGCGUUAUCCGGAUUUACUGGGUGUAAAGGGAGCGUAGACGGCAGCACAAGUCAGGUGUGAAAGGCUGGGGCUUAACCCCGGAACUGCUUUGGAAACUGUGCAUCUAGAGUGCAGGAGAGGUAAGUGGAAUUCCUGGUGUAGCGGUGAAAUGCUUAGAUAUUAGGAGGAACACCAGUUGCGAAGGCGGCUUACCGGCCUUUAACUGACGUUGAGGCUCGAAAGCGUGGGGAGCAAACAGGAUUAGAUACCCGAGUAGUC